GGCUGUGAGGGCUAUCGGACUGUGACAUCUGUCACUCCAUUGAUUACCAGGGUUGAUUCAGCUGAUCUGGCUGGCUAGGUGGGUGUCCCCUUCCUCCCUCACUGCUCCAUGUGUAUCCCUCCUGAAGAGCUGUUUGCUUGAUCAAAGAGGACAACCAUCCCUGCUAGAGGAGGACUGGUCUUUUGUCAAGGGUAUACGAGUAGCUGUGCUCCUCUGCUAGAACCUCCAAACAAGCUCUCAAGGAAUGGGCCUAGUAGGGAAAUAGUGGGCAACCCCCUCUUGGGUUACAACUCCCACUGGUG
ensembl:misc_RNA 7SK 7SK RNA